AGUGAACGCUGGCGGUAGGCCUAACACAUGCAAGUCGAACGGCAGCACAGUAAGAGCUUGCUCUUACGGGUGGCGAGUGGCGAACGGGUGAGGAAUACAUCGGAAUCUACUUUUUCGUGGGGGAUAACGUAGGGAAACUUACGCUAAUACCGCAUACGACCUACGGGUGAAAGCAGGGGAUCUUCGGACCUUGCGCGAUUGAAUGAGCCGAUGUCGGAUUAGCUAGUUGGCGGGGUAAAGGCCCACCAAGGCGACGAUCCGUAGCUGGUCUGAGAGGAUGAUCAGCCACACUGGAACUGAGACACGGUCCAGACUCCUACGGGAGGCAGCAGUGGGGAAUAUUGGACAAUGGGCGCAAGCCUGAUCCAGCCAUACCGCGUGGGUGAAGAAGGCUUUCGGGUUGUAAAGCCCUUUUGUUGGGAAAGAAAAGCAGCAGGUUAAUACCCCGCUGUUCUGACGGUACCCAAAGAAUAAGCACCGGCUAACUUCGUG
rnacentral:rRNA from 1 species